rnacentral:tRNA from 1 species
CAGGAGAUAGUUUAAUUAGAAUUUCAGCUUUGGGUGCUGAUGGUAGGGUUAUAACCCUUCUCUUGA